CUUCUGAAGAGUGUGGUUAGCAGCAGAGGCAGAGCACAUUUCCCCUCUCCUACUCUCAACCACAACAGAGAAUAAAACUAGCUCACAGCUGUUCUACUGAAACUUAAGGAGGAUUGCUAGGUCUACACACCAUGGGCAGCUGCCUGGCUAGGGUAAAUGACCAUCUUCAUUCUCCACGGUGGCGAAUUGCAUCUCUGCAUGUCUGGCAGACAUAUCAGU